AAACCGUUCAGGGGUAAACCUGCGAAACUCGAAUGAACGAACGGAGAGAUUCAUCGUCACUCCGCGGCGCGACGGGGCGUCUCUCGAUGGCGGUCGGCUUCACUGUACGACUGUCACGGAGCGCCGCGUCAGUGUCCGGGGACGGCGUGCACUUCUCUCUCAGUAAUACAUCGCGACCCGUUCGAUGUCGACCUACGCGCUGUUCGGGCGUACUGCGGUCACCCUCGCGGGCGGUCGUAGUACCGGACGGACGCCGGCCGGCUGUCGGACGGUAGUUUUGAUGAACCGCGCACGCGUUCACGCGCGUCCGGCCCGACGCAAGGCGUCGUCGUAUUUCUCAUUCUCUGCCUGUGCGCGGACGUGGGUGCGGCGCGCCUGUCGUCGCUGCCGUGCAGUCUCGGACUGUGCGCGUCUCUGUCUGCGAUGAUUCAGUUUCGGGCACUCGCAGGA
rnacentral:rRNA from 1 species